rnacentral:rRNA from 1 species
AGAGUUUGAUCCUGGCUCAGGAUGAACGCUGGCGGCGUGCUUAACACAUGCAAGUCGAACGAAGCACUCUAUUUGAUUUUCUUCGGAAAUGAAGAUUUUGUGACUGAGUGGCGGACGGGUGAGUAACGCGUGGGUAACCUGCCUCAUACAGGGGGAUAACAGUUGGAAACGACUGCUAAUACCGCAUAAGCGCACAGGAUCGCAUGAUCCGGUGUGAAAAACUCCGGUGGUAUGGGAUGGACCCGCGUCUGAUUAGCCAGUUGGCAGGGUAACGGCCUACCAAAGCGACGAUCAGUAGCCGACCUGAGAGGGUGACCGGCCACAUUGGGACUGAGACACGGCCCAAACUCCUACGGGAGGCAGCAGUGGGGAAUAUUGCACAAUGGGGGAAACCCUGAUGCAGCGACGCCGCGUGAGCGAAGAAGUAUUUCGGUAUGUAAAGCUCUAUCAGCAGGGAAGAAGAAUGACGGUACCUGACUAAGAAGCACCGGCUAAAUACGUGCCAGCAGCCGCGGU